GAUGAACGCUGGCGGCGUGCUUAACACAUGCAAGUCGAACGGUGAAGCCAAGCUUGCUUGGUGGAUCAGUGGCGAACGGGUGAGUAACACGUGAGCAACCUGCCCUGGACUCUGGGAUAAGCGCUGGAAACGGCGUCUAAUACUGGAUAUGCAUCGCGAUCGCAUGGUCGUGUUUGGGAAGAUUUUUCGGUCUGGGAUGGACUCGGGGCCUAUCAGCUUGGUGGUGAGGUAAUGGCUCACCAAGGCCUCGACGGGUAGCCGGCCUGUGAGGGGGACCGGCGACACUGGAAUUGAGACACGGCCAAGACACCUACGUGAGGCAGCGGUGGUGAAUAUAGCACAAUGGGCGAAUGCCUGAUGCAGCAACGCCGCGUGAGGGAUGACGGCCUUCGGGUUGUAAACCUCUUUUAGCAGGGAAGAAGCGAAAGUGACGGUACCUGCAGAAAAAGCGCCGGCUAACUACGUGCCAGCAGCCGCCGUAAUAC
rnacentral:rRNA from 1 species